GACGAACGCUGGCGGCGUGCCUAAUACAUGCAAGUCGAGCGGAGUUUCCCUAGUGCUUGCACUACGGACGGUUAGCGGCGGACGGGUGAGUAACACGUAGGCAACCUGCCCCUAAGACUGGGAUAACAUUCGGAAACGAUAGCUAAUACCGGAUAACAGGAUUUCUCGCAUGAGGGGUUUGGGAAAGGUGGUGCAAUCUGCAGUUUAAGGAUGGGUCUGCGGGGCUUUAGCUGGUUGGUGGGGUAACGGCCUACCAAGGCGACGAUGCAUAGCCGACCUGAGAGGGUGAUCGGCCACACUGGGACUGAGACACGGCCCAGACUCCUACGGGAGGCAGCAGUAGGGAAUCUUCCGCAAUGGACGAAAGUCUGACGGAGCAACGCCGCGUGAGUGAGGAAGGCCUUCGGGUCGUAAAGCUCUGUUGCCAGGGAAGAACGGGUAGGUGGUUAACUGCCCUGGCCAUGACGGUACCUGAGAAGAAAGCCCCGGCUAACUACGUG
rnacentral:rRNA from 1 species